rnacentral:lncRNA from 1 species
AAUUGUGCAAGGCUGGAAAUUAUAUGGCUCUAGGUUGAUUGAACACAUGUACAUUUGUGACAUUGCCUUACUCUUUCUAUCAUGAAAUGCUUGAUUUUAAUCCAAUGGACUUGAAAUUUUACAUGCUGAUUCUAGACACAUUGAUGGACCUUUGAGGCUUGAUCUGGUAUUUUUCUCAUGUGCCAAUUCUGUUUUAUUCUUG